GUUGACUGCCGAGCACUUCGGCAACGGCGACACGAAGCGGCGCGUCGCUGCCCGCUGAUUGAGUUGAGAAUUUAUUGGCGCAAAAAACGAAGAAGCUUCAGUCUCGUGUUUGUUGUGCGCUCGUAAGGAUGUGUCCGCAGCCGCUGACGGACCUCGUGCGUUCGCGUCGCGUGUGCGCGCGUUCCCAACGCUGAACGCUUCAGCCGUGUUUCAAUCGCUUUUCCAUGCCAACAAAUUAAACACAAAAGGAAAUUGAAAAAAUAAAAUAAAAUAAAUAAGAAGAAAAUUAAAAUAUUCUGAAAAACGCCAAAGGCGAGUGUUGAAAUAAUAAAAGUCAAGUGUGUAAUUAAUGUUUUAUUUAGUGUUCCGUUCGUGUGGCAGCCACCGGCUGCAGCAAGCGGCAGCAGCCCAAUAAGCGGCCAACAAGUGCAACAACAGCCAACAACGAAAAGCUUCAAUAAAAUGAUAACCUGAGGCUUCGACUCUGCAUGUAAACAGUUUAAAUUGAAAAUUCAAAAGUAUAAAUAAAAAACUAG